rnacentral:rRNA from 1 species
AACGAACGCUGGCGGCAUGCCUAACACAUGCAAGUCGAACGGAGGCUUCGGCCUUAGUGGCGCACGGGUGCGUAACGCGUGGGAAUCUGCCCUUUGGUUCGGAAUAACAGCUGGAAACGGCUGCUAAUACCGGAUGAUGACGAAAGUCCAAAGAUUUAUCGCCAGAGGAUGAGCCCGCGUUGGAUUAGGUAGUUGGUGGGGUAAAGGCCUACCAAGCCGACGAUCCAUAGCUGGUCUGAGAGGAUGAUCAGCCACACUGGGACUGAGACACGGCCCAGACUCCUACGGGAGGCAGCAGUGGGGAAUAUUGGACAAUGGGCGCAAGCCUGAUCCAGCAAUGCCGCGUGAGUGAUGAAGGCCCUAGGGUUGUAAAGCUCUUUUACCCGGGAAGAUAAUGACUGUACCGGGAGAAUAAGCCCCGGCUAACUCCGUG